GACAGAGGGGGCAAGCGUUGUCCGGAUUGACUGGGCGUACAGCGCGCGCAGGCGGCAUGCGACGUGCCCUGUGACAGGCGGGAGCUCAACUCCCGACGGCCAGGGUAGACGCGCAGGCUAGAGGCAGGGAGAGGGCAGUGGAAUACCCGGUGGAGCGGGUGAAAAUGCGUAGAGAGUCGGUGGAACACCGAGGGGCCGAAGGCGGCUGCCUGGCCCUGACCUGACGCUGAGGCGCGAGAGCGUGGGGAGCAAACCGG
rnacentral:rRNA from 1 species